UACAGAGGGGGCAAGCGUUGUUCGGAAUUACUGGGCGUAAAGGGCGCGUAGGCGGCCUGCUAAGUCGAACGUGAAAUGCCAGGGCUCAACCUUGGAACUGCCUUUGAUACUGGAGACCUUGAGUCCGGGAGAGGUGAGUGGAAUUGCGAGAGUAGAGGUGAAAUUCGUAGAUAUUCGCAAGAACACCAGUGGCGAAGGCGGCUCACUGGCCCGGAACUGACGCUGAGACGCGAAAGCGUGGGGAGCAAACAGG
rnacentral:rRNA from 1 species